rnacentral:rRNA from 1 species
CUACGGGGCGCAGCAGUAGGGAAUAUUGCACAAUGGGCGCAAGCCUGAUGCAGCCAUGCCGCGUGUAUGAAGAAGGCCUUCGGGUUGUAAAGUACUUUCAGCGGGGAGGAAGGGAGUAAAGUUAAUACCUUUGCUCAUUGACGUUACCCGCAGAAGAAGCACCGGCUAACUCCGUGCCAGCAGCCGCGGUAAUACGGAGGGUGCAAGCGUUAAUCGGAAUUACUGGGCGUAAAGCGCACGCAGGCGGUUUGUUAAGUCAGAUGUGAAAUCCCCGGGCUCAACCUGGGAACUGCAUCUGAUACUGGAAAGCUUGAGUCUCGUAGAGGGGGGUAGAAUUCCAGGUGUAGCGGUGAAAUGCGUAGAGAUCUGGAGGAAUACCGGUGGCGAAGGCGGCCCCCUGGACGAAGACUGACGCUCAGGUGCGAAAGCGUGGGGAGCAAACAGGAUUAGAUACCCCGGUAGUC